UAUCCAUGAUGUGUGCAAGAGUUUAAAAGGUCUUUGAAUCUCUCCCAACAUUGGAAGAAAGUCUCUUCAUCUUUUUUGGAAAAAAUUCAUAAUCUCUUGUUUAAUGAA